GGUUGAUAUUCCUGUACCACCUAUAAUCGUUUUAAUCGAUGGGGGGACGCAGUAGGAUAGGCGAAGCGUGCGAUUGGAUUGCACGUCUAAGCAGUAAGGCUGAGUAUUAGGCAAAUCCGGUACUCGUUAAGGCUGAGCUGUGAUGGGGAGAAGACAUUGUGUCUUCGAGUCGUUGAUUUCACACUGCCGAGAAAAGCCUCUAGAUAGAAAAUAGGUGCCCGUACCGCAAACCGACACAGGUAGUCAAGAUGAGAAUUCUAAGGUGAGCGAGCGAACUCUCGUUAAGGAACUCGGCAAAAUGACCCCGUAACUUCGGGAGAAGGGGUGCUCUUUAGGGUUAACGCCCAGAAGAGCCGCAGUGAAUAGGCCCAAGCGACUGUUUAUCAAAAACACAGGUCUCUGCUAAACCGUAAGGUGAUGUAUAGGGGCUGACGCCUGCCCGGUGCUGGAAGGUUAAGAGGAGUGGUUAGCUUCUGCGAAGCUACGAAUCGAAGCCCCAGUAAACGGCGGCCGUAACUAUAACGGUCCUAAGGUAGCGAAAUUCCUUGUCGGGUAAGUUCCGACCCGCACGAAAGGCGUAACGAUUUGGGCACUGUCUCAACGAGAGACUCGGUGAAAUCAUAGUACCUGUGAAGAUGCAGGUUACCCGCGACAGGACGGAAAGACCCCGUGGAGCUUUACUGUAGCCUGAUAUUGAAAUUCGGCACAGCUUGUACAGGAUAGGUAGGAGCCUUUGAAACGUGAGCGCUAGCUUACGUGGAGGCGCUGGUGGGAUACUACCCUAGCUGUGUUGGCUUUCUAACCCGCACCACUUAUCGUGGUGGGAGACAGUGUCAGGCGGGCAGUUUGACUGGGGCGGUCGCCUCCUAAAAGGUAACGGAGGCGCUCAAAGGUUCCCUCAGAAUGGUUGGAAAUCAUUCAUAGAGUGUAAAGGCAUAAGGGAGCUUGACUGCGAGACCUACAAGUCGAGCAGGGUCGAAAGACGGACUUAGUGAUCCGGUGGUUCCGCAUGGAAGGGCCAUCGCUCAACGGAUAAAAGCUACCCCGGGGAUAACAGGCUUAUCUCCCCCAAGAGUUCACAUCGACGGGGAGGUUUGGCACCUCGAUGUCGGCUCAUCGCAUCCUGGGGCUGUAGUCGGUCCCAAGGGUUGGGCUGUUCGCCCAUUAAAGCGGUACGCGAGCUGGGUUCAGAACGUCGUGAGACAGUUCGGUCCCUAUCCGUCGUGGGCGUAGGAAAUUUGAGAGGAGCUGUCCUUAGUACGAGAGGACCGGGAUGGACAUACCUCUGGUGUACCAGUUGUCGUGCCAACGGCAUAGCUGGGUAGCUAUGUGUGGACGGGAUAAGUGCUGAAAGCAUCUAAGCAUGAAGCCCCCCUCAAGAUGAGAUUUCCCAACUUCGGUUAUAAGAUCCCUCAAAGAUGAUGAGGUUAAUAGGUUCGAGGUGGAAGCAUGGUGACAUGUGGAGCUGACGAAUACUAA
rnacentral:rRNA from 1 species